rnacentral:rRNA from 1 species
UGGGGAAUUUUGGACAAUGGGCGAAAGCCUGAUCCAGCCAUUCCGCGUGCAGGAUGAAGGCCCUCGGGUUGUAAACUGCUUUUGUACAGAACGAAAAAGCUCUGGUUAAUACCUGGAGUCCAUGACGGUACUGUAAGAAUAAGCACCGGCUAACUACGUGCCAGCAGCCGCGGUAAUACGUAGGGUGCAAGCGUUAAUCGGAAUUACUGGGCGUAAAGCGUGCGCAGGCGGUGAUGUAAGACAGUUGUGAAAUCCCCGGGCUCAACCUGGGAACUGAAUCUGUGACUGCAUCGCUGGAGUGCGGCAGAGGGGGAUGGAAUUCCGAGUGUAGCAGUGAAAUGCGUAGAUAUGCGGAGGAACACCGAUGGCGAAGGCAAUCCCCUGGGCCUGAACUGACGCUCAUGCACGAAAGCGUGGGGAGCAAACAGG